rnacentral:rRNA from 1 species
AAUCUUCCGCAAUGGACGAAAGUCUGACGGAGCAACGCCGCGUGAGUGAUGAAGGUCNNNGGGUUNUCAAGUACUUUUGGCAGNGACNAAAAGGUAUCCCCUAAUACGGGAUACUGCUGACGGUAUCUGCAGAAUAAGCACCGGCUAACUACGUGCCAGCAGCCGCGGUAAUACGUAGGGUGCAAGCGUUAAUCGGAAUUACUGGGCGUAAGGCGUGUGUAGGCGGUUCGGAAAGAAAGAUGUGAAAUCCCAGGGCUCAACCUUGGAACUGCAUUUUUAACUGCCGAGCUAGAGUAUGUCAGAGGGGGGUAGAAUUCCACGUGUAGCAGUGAAAUGCGUAGAUAUGUGGAGGAAUACCGAUGGCGAAGGCAGCCCCCUGGGAUAAUACUGACGCUCAGACACGAAAGCGUGGGGAGCAAACAGG